UACGAAGGGGGCUAGCGUUGUUCGGAAUUACUGGGCGUAAAGCGCACGUAGGCGGACUACUAAGUCAGGGGGUGAAAAUCCCCGGGGGCUCAACCCCCGGAAACUGCCUUUGAUACUGAUAGUCUCGAGUCCGGAAGAGGUGAGUGGAAUUCCGAGUGUAGAGGUGAAAAUUCGUAGAUAUUCGGAGGAACACCAGUGGCGAAGGCGGCUCACUGGUCCGGUACUGACGCUGAGGUGCGAAAGCGUGGGGAGCAAACAGGG
rnacentral:rRNA from 1 species